rnacentral:rRNA from 1 species
UACGGAGGGUGCAAGCGUUGUCCGGAAUCACUGGGCGUAAAGGGCGCGUAGGCGGCCUGAUAAGUAGGGGGUGAAAUCCUGCGGCUUAACCGCAGGGCUGCCUUCUAAACUGUUAGGCUAGAGCACGGUAGAGGCAGAUGGAAUUCCCGGUGUAGCGGUGGAAUGCGUAGAGAUCGGGAAGAACAUCAGUGGCGAAGGCGGUCUGCUGGGCCGUUGCUGACGCUGAGGCGCGACAGCGUGGGGAGCAAACAGG